CUUGGAGUUGGAUUUUAUCUAGUUUUGAUUUCUUAUUACUACAGCCUACAAUGCGUGUAGAGAAGCCCAAACACGUCAAAAUAAUAAUGAUUUUAAUAUAAUAGACUAAGCUUUUAAAAAAGGAGAGAUAAAAGGAACUCUCUUAUAUUAUUGUAGUGUCUGGAAAAUCCGAAAGGAACCGAUCUAAAGCUUCAGCGAACUCGGGCCUUAACAAAUGAUCGAUCGUGAAGGCCAAAGACCAGCAGGGGUGAUCUGAUGUUGAGCGCUUAGUAUGUGUCAAGCUACCACCAUAUGUUCCCCUUUUUUUUUUUCAUUUUUUUUGUGACGGAAUCCUCCUUUUCUCUUCUUCUUGUCCGUGGAGCCAAAUCCACGCAUAAAAAGCGUGAGUGUGUCUGCGUAUUCGCGAAAUAAAAAUGAAACGGAUGCUGCGAUAGCGAAGUCCAAAGGGCUAUAAUCUCGCGAUCGAGUUUCAGGCCCACUGUUGGGACCAGUCCUUUAGCCCGGCCCAAUACACGGUUGGAAACCACAAGGUCGGAUGCUACCUAACGGGCGACGGUCACCCGAGUGGUACAAAAACCCAGUCUCGAUGAAUGCAGAAAAGAAAAACGCCCGUAUCUCCUUUCUUCCAUAAAGCGACGAAGAACGAAGAAUUCAUAAUCACACGACCUAUACUAAUUUUGACCUAAUUUAUAGAGAAGAAUAUAAAUAUCUAUUACAUAAAAAUAUAAACUGUGAUGCUAAUUUGAUGUUAUAGAUAUUAUUUUUAUUUUUUCUUUCUAUCAUUUUGAUAAAAGUUAACACAGUUUGAAUUAGGAUAAAACUUUUGUAUUUCAGUGAAAGGAAGUAAUAACUAUCACCGGUCGUAACUGACAUAGUGAUAGUAGGCAAGGAGGUUUCAUGAUCAGCGCGGGGGGGGGGGGGGGGGGGGGGGGGCACCCGCCGUACGGCCCCCUAGCAUCGGCGAGUCAUGAAGGGCACGUGGCCAUUGGAUGCUUCUAUCUUGAGUUGGACCGUAACACCCACCGGUCAAGUGAUCUGGCUCAAAAUAUCUAGAGGCAAGUUGGUCAUGUGUAAUAGCUUAUAAAUAAGAUGAGGACUGAUCCAACUAGCCUCACCUCUUGAGCAUUUUUUCCUUUUCCUUAGGUUUUCCCUCCAUUGGCUCUUGCUCAUGAGGUCCACAUAUGAACAUAUGUGCUGAGAUUUUUGUGGGAAGUCAGACCUUUUUUCACGUUGUACUCUAGGAUUAAAGAGAUGAGUCCAUAAUUUUGGUUUUCACGUUCUUGUUCUUGUUGUGUCCAUGUUUUUUCAUGUUCUUUUCUUAAAAUUAAAUAUCUUUCUUUAUCAAUAGUUUGAAAAAACAAUAUCACUAUGCACAUAAAGAUUAAAG
rnacentral:lncRNA from 1 species